CCAAUAGCGUAUAUUAAAGUUGUUGCAGUUAAAAAGCUCGUAGUUGAAUUUUGGAUUCUGCCAGUUGGUCCAUCUUUUGAUGAGUACUGGUUGUGCGGGGUCUAUCCGCCUGGGGAGACGUAAUGUACUUUAUUGUAUGUUGCGGGUAGCCAGGACCUUUACCUUGAAAAAAUUAGAGUGUUUAAAGCAGGCUUAUGCCGGAAUACAUUAGCAUGGAAUAAUAGAAUAGGACGAUGUUGUUUUAUUUUGUUGGUUUCUAGGACAACCGUAAUGAUUAAUAGGGAUAGUUGGGGGCAUUAGUAUUCAAUUGUCAGAGGUGAAAUUCUUGGAUUUAUUGAAGACUAACUACUGCGAAAGCAUUUGCCAAGGAUGUUUUCAUUAAUCAAGAACGAAAGUUAGGGGAUCGAAGACGAUCAGAUACCGUCGUAGUCUUAACCAUAAACUAUGCCGACUAGGGAUCGGGCGAUGUUGUUUCCAUGACUCGCUCGGCACCUUAUG
rnacentral:rRNA from 1 species